AGAAGUGUGCCCGAGUCUUAGGGGUUAUCUUGAUGAGAUAAACACAGAACAACACACUCUCACUUCUA
rnacentral:tRNA from 1 species